GACGAACGCUGGCGGCGUGCUUAACACAUGCCAGUCGAACGGAAAGGCCCUGCUUGCAGGGUACUCGAGUGGCGAACGGGUGAGUAACACGUGGGUGAUCUGCCCUGCACUUCGGGAUAAGCCUGGGAAACUGGGUCUAAUACCGGAUAGGAGCCAUUUUUAGUGUGAUGGUUGGAAAGUUUUUUCGGUGUAGGAUGAGCUCGCGGCCUAUCAGCUUGUUGGUGGGGUAAUGGCCUACCAAGGCGGCGACGGGUAGCCGGCCUGAGAGGGUGGACGGCCACAUUGGGACUGAGAUACGGCCCAGACUCCUACGGGAGGCAGCAGUGGGGAAUAUUGCACAAUGGGCGCAAGCCUGAUGCAGCGACGCUGCGUGGGGGAUGACGGCCUUCGGGUUGUAAACUCCUUUCGCUAGGGACGAAGCUUUUUGUGACGGUACCUAGAUAAGAAGCACCGGCUAACUACGUG
rnacentral:rRNA from 1 species